UACGAAGGGGGCUAGCGUUGCUCGGAAUCACUGGGCGUAAAGCGCACGUAGGCGGAUCGUUAAGUCAGGGGUGAAAUCCUGGAGCUCAACUCCAGAACUGCCUUUGAUACUGGCGACCUUGAGUUCGGGAGAGGUGAGUGGAACUGCGAGUGUAGAGGUGAAAAUUCGUAGAUAUUCGCAAGAACACCAGUGGCGAAGGCGGCUCACUGGCCCGAUACUGACGCUGAGGUGCGAAAGCGUGGGGAGCAAACAGG
rnacentral:rRNA from 1 species